rnacentral:sRNA from 1 species
UGGGAUAAAAAGAUGGUAUUUCUAAAAUCUAUAUAUACAUUUUUGCAGCCAUUUUAGCAAAUAAAUCCUAGACUUAGGACUUAUUUACAAUCUAAUGCCAUUAGCAUUAAAUCUUUUUUCCAAAAUAAUUAAUUUUACUUUAAAUUUUUGCUUUAAAUUGUCAAUCACAUUAUAAAUCAAAUUUAAUCUCAACAAUUUUCAAAUCAAUCCCUUAAAAUUAGCAUAAACAUAUUUGUUAACAAU